CACGAAUUGCAUCGUGUUGCUAUAUUUAGACCCAUAUUAUGAUAAAACCUUUUGCAUUUCAAAUAUUUUUCCACUCAUUCCACAUCCAACAGAAACCAAAUAACGGUUAUAAUUCGAAAAAUAUUCAAAAUUGAUGAAAAUUUCACUCUCCUUGUGCGCCCAGAUUCCUGCCGAAUGUACAUCUUAAGCGCCCACUUUCUUUAUCACGUAGCAAUUUUACCAAAAUUCGGCCCUUUAGCAAACAGAAUUAUUGAUCACGCGAAUGCCCGCGACCCCCCAAACCAAAUCCCCAGGGAAAAUAUUCUGGACCCCCGUGUUAGAAUAUAUUCAUUUACCCGCUUUGUCAAAUGGGAGGUUGAACACUAUGGAAGAAAAAAGAAUCCACAUUUGUUGGUCGAGUGUUUGUUAUGCAUUGCUUAAAAUUAAACAUAUAAUACUUAAUAUUUAAUAAGGAGUAUCUAAUACCCAAUGGCCAAUAUUCUAUUAAAACCAUUAUUUUGAUAACCUAUGAAAAGAUGUAAAUAAGUGUCAGCUCAUUUUGUAUGUAUAAUAUGUUGAAGCUCUACAUCAUCUUUUUAUUUGAAAUAAAAAAAAUU
rnacentral:sRNA from 1 species